rnacentral:rRNA from 1 species
GGACUGCAGGCUGCAACCCGCCUGCACGAAGUUGGAAUUGCUAGUAAUCGCGGAUCAGCAUGCCGCGGUGAAUACGUUCCCGGGCUUUGUACACACCGCCCGUCAAACCAUGAAAGUUGGGAACACCCGAAGCCGGUGAGCUAACCGCAAGGAGGCAGCCGUCGAAGGUGGGUUCAAUGAUUGGGGUUAAGUCGUAACAAGGUAGC